AGAGUUUGAUCAUGGCUCAGGAUGAACGCUAGCGGCAGGCUUAAUACAUGCAAGUCGAGGGGUAACAUGGGUAGCAAUACCUGAUGACGACCGGCAAACGGGUGCGGAACACGUACGCAACCUUCCCAAAACUGGUGAAUAGCCCUCCGAAAGGAGGAUUAAUACACCGUACUAUAAUGAAGAGGCAUCUCUUUAUUAUCAUAGGCUUCGGUCGGUUUUGGAUGGGCGUGCGCCUGAUUAGGUAGUUGGCGGGGUAACGGCCCACCAAGCCUGCGAUCAGUAACUGGUGUGAGAGCACGACCAGUCACACGGGCACUGAGACACGGGCCCGACUCCUACGGGAGGCAGCAGUAAGGAAUAUUGGUCAAUGGACGCAAGUCUGAACCAGCCAUGCCGCGUGAAGGAUGAAGGUCCUCUGGAUUGUAAACUUCUUUUAUCUGGGACGAAAAAAGGGAAUUCUUUCCCACUUGACGGUACCAGAGGAAUAAGCACCGGCUAACUCCGUGCCAGCAGCCGCGGUAAUACGGAGGGUGCAAGCGUUAUCCGGAUUUACUGGGUUUAAAGGGUGCGUAGGUGGGCAGGUAAGUCAGUGGUGAAAUCUCCGGGCUUAACUCGGAAACUGCCAUUGAUACUAUCUGUCUUGAAUAUCCUGGAGGUAAGCGGAAUAUGUCAUGUAGCGGUGAAAUGCUUAGAUAUGACAUAGAACACCAAUUGCGAAGGCAGCUUACUACGGGAUUAUUGACACUGAGGCACGAAAGCGUGGGGAUCAAACAGGAUUAGAUACCCUAGUAGUCC
rnacentral:rRNA from 1 species